CUCUUUUAUUUAGAGAAUAGUGUGGAAUAGCAUGGGGACAGGACCCAUGGGCAGUCAGAGCUUCUGCUGCCGCCGCUUCUGCUGCCCCCGCUGGCAUGGGGACAGGAUCCAUGGGCAGGCAGAGCUGAUGCGUGGGGACAGGACCCAUGGGCAGUCAGAGCUCCUGCUGCUGCCCUGAGUUGAGGGUUAGGGCUAAUUUUAUAAGGCAUGGGUAUAUGAUUCAUCUCUUUACAAGACAAAGGAAAGAACAUGAAAAAAAGUUAAAAUGGUAUCAGUGCGGGUGGGGUCUGGUCAUUGGGUGAUCCCAUGACUUUUAGACAAGAAUCAAAUCGGAUUAAGUAAAGGUUAGAAAGGUUAGACGCCGCCACCCUAAACCAGUUACAUGAGAUUGCCAGACAGCAACCAACAGAGGUUCU
rnacentral:lncRNA from 1 species